UCGGGCACUGAUUCUCAACCCUGGCUAACCACUAAAAAUUUACUCAAGGAGCUUUUAAAAAGUAUCAGUGCCUAGGACACAACACAGGUUAAUUGAAUAAGAACUUCGGGAGGAGACUCUAGGGAAAAGAAAUCACUGAGAAGAGUGGCAUUAAUCUACAUGUGUGUCAGUCUCUGUCUGAAUGCAGACGUCUCCGAGAGACUGAAUAUACGAAGGGACGCUGGGUAGACCACAGAAAAGCCACAACUCUGACCCACACCUGCAUCAGCCUGCCCAGGAAAACUGACCCUAACCUAAUAUCUGCAAACGCCAGCCCCAGAGGCCAGCCUGCUGUCCAGGAGUCAGGACUGCAGGAGGACCAACCAGAGAAAGCUGAAUACACUCCCUGGCCAGUUCCAUAGGAUGUUCCGAUUCCAGCUACUCGCCUCCAGUGUCCCCAGACAGCAGCCUCCGGCAGGGCUCACCUGGGACCUUCCGUUUUCUCAUCAUAAAUCCCCAGACCCCUGCCUUUGAGUCUCUGCUGGACACACACCCUGGAGCCCUGCCUUUGAGCCUCUGCUGGACACACACCCCGGACCCCUGCCGUUGAGCCUGUGCUGAACACUCGAGCAAAUAGCAGCCUUGGUGGGAUGAAGAUCAUUACAAAAGAAUGCAAAGAGACAGAGUGGACAGUCCCUUCCGACACGCAAGCCAGGACAGACACAGAAAGAAAACCUUUGGAACAGGAAAAGAAGAGCUCUUUUGACAAAGCAAAGGAGGAUCACAGAGUUCCAGCCCUGGGGGCUGCGUCUGGGGGUUUCCUGGCAUUAGAGGAGCUGAUGGUGAAUUUUCCCUCAACCAUCACCGGAAAUGUGAAACUCAGUGGAGCUCCCUGUUCCCACAGGGUCACAUUCAAGCACAAUUCAAAUAUGAAUACAGUAAAAUCAUGAGAUCCCAGCUACUCUCAACAAGGCUUAC
rnacentral:lncRNA from 1 species